GGGGCUGUAGCUCACCUGGGAGAGCGCUUCCAUGGCAUGGAAGAGGCAGAGGGUUCGAUCCCCUCCAGCUCCACUA
rnacentral:tRNA from 4 species